UACGUAGGGUGCAAGCGUUGUCCGGAAUUAUUGGGCGUAAAGAGCUCGUAGGCGGUCUGUUGCGUCGGCUGUGAAAACCCGGGGCUCAACUCCAGGCCUGCAGCCGAUACGGGCAGACUAGAGUUCGGCAGGGGAGACUGGAAUUCCUGGUGUAGCGGUGAAAUGCGCAGAUAUCAGGAGGAACACCGGUGGCGAAGGCGGUACUCUGGGCCGAUACUGACGCUGAGGAGCGAAAGCGUGGGGAGCAAACAGG
rnacentral:rRNA from 1 species